rnacentral:rRNA from 2 species
UCGGGUCCGCACGCGUGAUACAUUGAAGGAAUCAGCAUGUUCUUUCCCGGUCCGACAGGAUUGGGUAACCAUGUGAACCUCCUUCGUGCUGGGGAUAGGGGCUUGAAAUUAUUCCCCUUGAACGAGGAACUCCCAGUAAGUGUGAGUCAUC